UUAUUUAUAACAUAUACUUUAUUUAUAACAUAUACUUUAUUUCACCGAAAAUCCCUCAUUUAUUAUAAUUAAUUGUUUUAUGGUUAUUUUGAGAUGUGUUACACUACUUUUAAGAGUGAACUAUUGUAUUGUAUUGUAUUUAUCUACAUGGUGUUAAUGCUGUGAGGUCAUCAACGGGAGCCAUGCUUUUACUCAUUUUGCUCAGAGCCUGAUGAGUAGAGGUAUGUGUUAUGUACGCUCCGCUCUUUUCAAUGCACAUGUAAGCAAAUGUCCAAAAAAAGACAACCGAAAAUGAUAUCGUCAUUGAUUUAGUGUUGCGCUACAGUUUUUAGGAAUAUAUAUUAGUGUGAAUGGGGAUAAUGUUUGACUGCAACUUUGCAAGGUUUGCCCAGCCAGCGUUACCUUUGGGGUCUCUCAGGUGCAGACAGCGUGAGUUUUCUGACAGGAAUUCAGCACUCUUUUGUCUUUUAUCAGGCUAAUAUAGUUGUGUAUGGCAGUCCAGACGGCAGCAUCAAGCUUGGCUUUGUAUUUGUAUCCAUUCCAUGCAGUCACUAAAAGAGACAACCGGCAGAAUUGUGUCCAGAGACUUGUCUUCCACCUACACCUCACCAGAACACAACGCAGAAAGGGGGUGAUACCAGAACAGUGAGAAUCUAUACAUCGACGGAGGGUGGACUCCAAGAAGCGCCAAGAGGCAGGGACCCGCCUGCGAUAGGCUGAGCAAGUCUAAACCACACUCAGCCUCUACUGUGAUAGGCCAACAGACGGGUUGGAACUAUGUCUAUCACAGUAUAUGAACAGCUGUUUCCUUAUAUCCUGUCAGUUCCCUGUUCUGCCCUGCGUGGUAUUACAGUGAGCCCGUAUAUACGAAAGUUGCAUUUGCCAUUUAUUGCUUAGCUAAUAAAAGUACAUAGAGUACAAUCAGUGACUCAGUGUUAUAACUUGUUCUGAUACCAGAUUCGAAUUGACGCAACCCUAACACACUCGUUCUAGUUCUCUAGUCGCUCUCUUUACCAUUUCCCUCUCUGCUGUUUCUCUCAGUCUAGUUCUCUAGUCGCUCUCUUUACCAUUUCCCUCUCUG